rnacentral:tRNA from 1 species
GGGCCCGUAGCUCAGCUGGAUAGAGUACCUGGCUACGAACCAGGUGGUCGGGAGUUCGAAUCUCUCCGGGCCCA